rnacentral:rRNA from 1 species
GGAAACAGGUGCUAAUACCGUAUAACACUAUUUUCCGCAUGGAAGAAAGUUGAAAGGCGCUUUUGCGUCACUGAUGGAUGGACCCGCGGUGCAUUAGCUAGUUGGUGAGGUAACGGCUCACCAAGGCCACGAUGCAUAGCCGACCUGAGAGGGUGAUCGGCCACACUGGGACUGAGACACGGCCCAGACUCCUACGGGAGGCAGCAGUAGGGAAUCUUCGGCAAUGGACGAAAGUCUGACCGAGCAACGCCGCGUGAGUGAAGAAGGUUUUCGGAUCGUAAAACUCUGUUGUUAGAGAAGAACAAGGAUGAGAGUAAAAUGUUCAUCCCUUGACGGUAUCUAACCAGAAAGCCACGGCUAACUACGUGCCAGCAGCCGCGGUAAUACGUAGGUGGCAAGCGUUGUCCGGAUUUAUUGGGCGUAAAGCGAGCGCAGGCGGUUUCUUAAGUCUGAUGUGAAAGCCCCCGGCUCAACCGGGGAGGGUCAUUGGAAACUGGGAGACUUGAGUGCAGAAGAGGAGAGUGGAAUUCCAUGUGUAGCGGUGAAAUGCGUAGAUAUAUGGAGGAACACCAGUGGCGAAGGCGGCUCUCUGGUCUGUAACUGACGCUGAGGCUCGAAAGCGUGGGGAGCGAACAGGAUUAGAUACCCUGGUAGUCCACGCCGUAAACGAC